rnacentral:tRNA from 1 species
UGGCUCAGUGGUGAAGAGCACUGGCUGCUCUUCCAGAGAACCUGGGUUCGAUUCCCAG